UCUGCAAGGAAGCAGCAGGAGGAGGGAGCGGCUGCUGUGGCCAAGAGUGGAUUUCUUUAAGGCAUAAUCCUAAACUUGCAUCUUCUGUCUUUCAGAGGCGACCUCAACGCAAAGUUUGAAUGGCAAAUGCUCCCCUUGCAGCAAUUUCUAUUUGUUUUUCAGCCUCAAGGAAGGACUGAACCCUCCUGAGGCAAGCAUCAGGAGAGCUUGAAAUGUAAAACACAUUCCUAUGUGACGAUGAAAGAAAAAUCACUUAGAAGAAGACAAGGAGAAAUUGAAGUUACUCACUCAAACAGGUAUUCUGGAAUACAUGUGGUAAAGCCUCCCUGCCUGACAAAACUGGAUAGAGCAAGAACUCUUAGGGGUCCUGGUGAAAAUAAUGCUGGAUAUUCUCAGCAGAAAAUUCUAACAUUAAUUUAAAACCCAAAAGGCCAAAUGGCCCAGUGGCA